rnacentral:misc_RNA from 1 species
GUUAGGAUGGUAACAGAUUUUGAUAACUAGGUGCCUCACUUAGACUAACAAGUAGAAAACUAUUGAAAGAAACCUGGCCAAAAUCAUGUGCUUGUAACUCAAAUCAUGAAUGCCACGCAACCCAAAAGGCUUUGCAAGAUGAAAGCAAGUUCUACACAUAUCUAGAAAAAGAUAUCCCCAUCUGAUAGCAACACUAAAAUUUUAUGGGACAUAUAACAACAUUAAUA